CCUUUGAAUCUCUUCCAUCCUCUAGAAGUCCAAUGCGCUAUCCAUUGCGCCACGGAGCCACCUGUUGGAUUCUCUGCGCAUUCGCUAAACUACUCGGAGGCAGGGUUUCCUCCGCGGCCCCAAGAGCACCCCAGGCUCAAAUUUAAAACCAAACUGCUCUAUGGGCGAAGAAGACUCGGCGGCUCCAUUCCAAGGCCGCCAUAUUAGUUUUAAUGCAGUGAUUACAUGACUCUCUUCUCACAGACUCACUCUCUUUUCCCUCAUAGAGGCCCCUUUUCUAGGCGCCAGGAACUGGGAGUCAAAGUGGCUUCACAAUAUUCAAAGAGUAAUACAGUUAAAAACAUAGAAAAGAGCCUAUCACUUGACUGACAGCCAAAGAAUAUGUGAGCUAACAGCAUCAGUUCUCCAAGGACCCGAUUUAAUGAAUGUUCUAAAUUCCAUUUUGUUCAACUGAAUUUUGUUCUACUUUUUUGUCCUA